UCACAAUGAUGAAGAACUGUACUUCCUUUACAUUCGCAGUUUCCACGGUAGGGGUACGCUUACGAACCCAUCGUUAGUACUCUCGGUGACCGCUCUUUUAUAGAGACCUUCCUAGGAUGUCUGAGUGA
rnacentral:snoRNA from 1 species